rnacentral:rRNA from 1 species
GACGAACGCUGGCGGCGUGCUUAACACAUGCAAGUCGAACGGGAAGGCCCUGCUUUUGUGGGGUGCUCGAGUGGCGAACGGGUGAGUAACACGUGAGUAACCUGCCCUUGACUUUGGGAUAACUUCAGGAAACUGGGGGUAAUACCGGAUAGGAGCUACUGCUGCAUGGUGGGGGUUGGAAAGUUUCGGCGGUUGGGGUUGGACUCGCGGCUUAUCAGCUUGUUGGUGGGGUAGUGGCUUACCAAGGCUUUGAAGGGUAGCCGGCCUGAGAGGGUGACCGGCCACAUUGGGACUGGGAUACGGCCCAGACUCCUACGGGAGGCAGCAGUGGAGAAUAGUGCACUAUGGGCGGAAGCCUGAUGCAGCAACGCCGCGUGCGGGAUGACGGCCUUCGGGUUGUAAACCACUGUUGCCUGUGACGAAGCGUGAGUGACGGUAAUGGGUAAAGAAGCACCGGCUAACUACGUG